rnacentral:rRNA from 1 species
UACCAGCACCCCGAGUGGUCGGGACGAUUAUUGGGCCUAAAGCAUCCGUAGCCGGUUCUUUAAGUCCUCCGUUAAAUCCACCUGCUUAACAGAUGGGCUGCGGAGGAUACUAUAGAGCUAGGAGGCGGGAGAGGCAAGCGGUACUCAGUGGGUAGGGGUAAAAUCCGUUGAUCCAUUGAAGACCACCAGUGGUGAAGGCGGCUUGCCAGAACGCGCUCGACGGUGAGGGAUGAAAGCUGGGGGAGCAAACCGG